AACCAUAGAAACCUGCGGAGUACCUGCGGAAGGAUCAUUAUAGUAUAUGGAAUCUCCAUUCUAUAAACCCACUCUGCGUAUCUUGUAACUGUUGCUUCCAUGGGACUUGGUUCCGCCACACCGGCUUCACGGCUGGUGAGCGCCCAUGGAAGGAGAAACAAAACUCUUCUUUGAAAUGUAGUCAGUCCGAACAAGUUUUUAUAAACGUUAAAACUUUUAGCAAUGGAUCUCAGAUCGGAA
rnacentral:misc_RNA from 1 species